CAGAAAGUAGUUUAUUUUAAAAUAUUAGUUUUGGAGACUAAAGACGGAAGUUUAAUUUUUUUUCUGA
rnacentral:tRNA from 1 species